rnacentral:rRNA from 1 species
UACGUAGGGCGCAAGCGUUGUCCGGAAUUAUUGGGCGUAAAGAGCUCGUAGGUGGCUUGUCACGUCGGGUGUGAAAACUGGAGGCUCAACCUCCAGCCUGCAGUGGGUACGGGCAGGCUCGAGUUCGGUAGGGGAGACUGGAAUUCCUGGUGUAGCGGUGAAAUGCGCAGAUAUCAGGAGGAACACCGGUGGCGAAGGCGGGUCUCUGGGCCGAUACUGACGCUGAGGAGCGAAAGCGUGGGGAGCGAACAGG